rnacentral:rRNA from 1 species
UACCCGCUGAACUUAAGCAUAUCAAUAAGCGGAGGAAAAGAAACUAACAAGGAUUCCCCUAGUAACUGCGAGUGAAGCGGGAAAAGCUCAAAUUUAAAAUCUGGCAGUCUUUUGGCUGUCCGAGUUGUAGUCUGGAGAAGUGCUUUCCGCGCUGGACCGUGUAUAAGUCUCUUGGAACAGAGCGUCAUAGAGGGUGAGAAUCCCGUCUUUGACACGGACUACCAGUGCUUUGUGAUGCGCUCUCAAGAGUCGAGUUGUUUGGGAAUGCAGCUCAAAAUGGGUGGUGAAUUCCAUCUAAAGCUAAAUAUUGGCGAGAGACCGAUAGCGAACAAGUACCGUGAGGGAAAGAUGAAAAGCACUUUGGAAAGAGAGUUAAACAGUACGUGAAAUUGCUGAAAGGGAAACGCUUGAAGUCAGUCGCGUCGUCCGGAACUCAGCCUUGCUUUUGCUUGGUGCACUUUCCGGUUGACGGGUCAGCAUCGAUUUUGACCGUCGGAAAAGGGCUGGAGUAAUGUGGCACCCUCGGGUGUGUUAUAGACUCUAGUCGCAUACGGCGGUCGGGAUCGAGGAACGCAGCGCGCCGUAAGGCAGGGGUUCGCCCACUUUCGCGCUUAGGAUGCUGGCAUAAUGGCUUUAAACGACCCGUCUUGAAACACGGACCAAGGAGUCUAACAUACCUGCGAGUGUUUGGGUGGAAAACCCGAGCGCGUAAUGAAAGUGAAAGUUGAGACCCCUGUCGUGGGGGGCAUCGACGCCCGGACCUGACGUUCUCUGAAGGAUCCGCGGUAGAGCAUGUAUGUUGGGACCCGAAAGAUGGUGAACUAUGCCUGAAUAGGGUGAAGCCAGAGGAAACUCUGGUGGAGGCUCGUAGCGAUUCUGACGUGCAAAUCGAUCGUCAAAUUUGGGUAUAGGGGCGAAAGACUAAUC